AUGAAGUCCAGAGGGCAGUACACAGUGACUCAGACUCCUGCAGUGGAAACUGUUCUCCCAGGACAGACAGUCUCUCUGCAGUGUAAAACCAGCAGUGAUGUCCAUACUUAUUAUUAUCUACACUGGUACCUCCAGAGACCUGGAGAAGCUCCUAAACUCCUCAUUUACCGUGCUACAACACGUCAGUCUGGGACUGAAUCUAGAUUCAGUGGUAGUGGAUCUGGGAGUGACUUCACUCUGACCAUCAGUGGAGUCAAGGCUGAAGAUGCAGGAGAUUACUACUGUCAGAGUUUACACUACCCUAACAGUGUCUGGGUGUUCACACAGUGAUACAGAGCCGUACAAAAACCUCCCUCAGUCAGACUGCACAGUGACUGCACUGCUACAGCUGGGACCUACUGCAGGUGCUGAGGGGGAAGAGACAGUGACA